CAUGCUGCGGCCGCACAUGGACAGUUGCGCACACCGUAGCUGUGUUCGAAAUCGUUCCCUAUUAACUCACUCAAUCACUAUUCCAUAUAUAGUGUUCAUGACAUAGUGCACUAUUUAGGGAACGAACAAACGAGAAUUCGGACACUACGCUGAACAUUUCUAAACGUCAUUUGCGUCAGUAAAUGCGCCGGGUAUUUGUGUGACGCAGACAGAUGCGCCCACAUCUUGUAAACAAACCGGGCACUCACGAGGAAAGCUGGAGACAGAUGCGCCCACAUCUGUGUUAAAUCCCAAAUAAAUUGUUGACAUUUCUAAACGAAAGCCGGAGACUCCAUCAUUAAAUAUAUUCGUUUUCGCGGUUAUUCAGCUUCUUCUUCUCCUCCGGAAAAACACGACCACAUUGCAUUGUGGUAUACGGGAGUAACAUGUAGGGUACAUCGUAUGUACAAUACACUCAAAUUUUGGGUAUUAUUAUCCUGCAGAUAAUGUGGAUAAGGAGA